UACGAGGGGGGCGAGCGUUGUCCGGAAUUAUUGGGCGUAAAGAGCUCGUAGGCGGCUUGUCACGUCGAUUGUGAAAGCCCGAGGCUUAACCUCGGGUCUGCAGUCGAUACGGGCUAGCUAGAGUGUGGUAGGGGGAGAUCGGAAUUCCUGGUGUAGCGGUGAAAUGCGCAGAUAUCAGGAGGAACACCGGUGGCGAAGGCGGAUCUCUGGGCCAUUACUGACGCUGGAGGAGCGAAAGCGUGGGGAGCGAACAGG
rnacentral:rRNA from 1 species